AAUGGACAUGGGUUUGAGGGUUUGAGCAAUCUCCGGGAGCUGGUGUUGGGCAGGGAAACAUGGCCUGCUGCUGUCCAUGGGGUCGCAAAACUGAGCUACCGAACUGAACUAAGGUCAGAAAUGACAGUGGUGUAAUCUUUAAGAUCACCACCAGAGGGCGGGGCUUCCUUCAAAUGCGAUUCCUUUUUGUAUUCAGGAGCUGGUUUGACUCGCCUACUCUGUAGCUGCCCAGACGGUUGACUGCUGCUGUGCAGAAAGGGGUCCCCAUUUUCUGAGUGAGGAGCUUCUGUAACAUCCAGCUGAGACUAACUUUGUUAGAUUUGGUGUUUCUAGGGAACAAGGACUGUCGCCAGAAUGUUUUCUGCCACUCACUCAGUUCUGUUCAUCUUCUUAAUACUUGGAGGGACCAGUGGUGACUCAGUGAACCAGACAGAAGGCCCAGUGACUGUCUUAGAGGGGGCUCUCAUGACCCUGAACUGCACUUACCAGGCCACAUAUUCAAAUAUCUAUCUUUUCUGGUACAUCCAGCAUCUCAACAAAGCUCCUCAACUCCUCCUGAAGGGCUUCACAGCAGACAAGACGGUAGAGCAUGAAGGUUUUCAGGCCACUCUUGUUAAGAGGGACAGCUCCUUCCACCUGCAGAAACAGGCAGUGCAAGCAUCAGACUCGGCUGUGUACUACUGUGCUCUGAGUGACACAGUGAUAGAGCGCUGCAGGGGGAGCUGAGCGCAAACCCAAGGGGAGCAGGAGGCUGAAGUCAGGACGACGUAUAUUCUCUCCUUGAUCAGAGUUUAGUGUACAUUUAGAGUUUUUCAGGGAAACCAAUCAAGCUCAGGUCUAAUCCUAAAAACUCAGGGGGUUGGGAAUUGCUCUACAGGAUUAUAGGGUGGAUGUCAGUCUUAAAGAAGACCCAAGCUCCAAUCCCCAGAAGCACCCCUGUUCAGCCAGAAAGAUUCCUCUCUGCUCUAGGCUGACUUUCCAAAAAAAUCUAUUUUUCUCAUAAUGUAAGAUAGAUAUUAGAUGUCACAAAAUUAGUAGUUCACUUAGAGAAAAGAAAUAGAUGAUUAAGAGUGCAUCACCUGAAUCAUAGUCAUAAACCAACACAGAGGUAUCAGGCAAAUCACAUACCAGUCUGCGUGUGGCUGAGACGUAACACUAUUGAGGUGCUGGUUGCAGUGAAAGCCUUUGAACUGGAGCUGCUGCAGCCUUGGGAUGAAAAAGCGUUUGUGACUUUUGAGUGGCCAUGUUUCUUUUAUUACUUAUUUGUUUGUUUUAUUUUUGGUCCGGCUGGGUCUUUGUUACUGACCUUGGGCUCUCUCCAGUUGCAGCGGGUGGAGGUUGCUCAUUGCGGUGCACGGGCUUCUCACCGCGGCGGCUCCUCUUGGUGCGGAGCGCGGGCUCCCGCUGCACGGGCUUCAGGAG